ACGAAGCCUCGGACAACAUUUUCGCUAAGGAAAAAGUUGUUUCAAAUCACCUCCCGAACCAACCCUUUCAAGGCGUUACAACAUUUUUGGGACACCCUGUAUGUAUAGACAGUGAGUGAGCAACAGUGAGCAACAGUGAGCAACAGACAGUGGCAGAUGGUGACAGAUGGUGGUAGUAGUAAAUGACAGUUCUCUGUAUCUCGUUCUGAAAGCAUGUUCUUCGAUGUUAAGAGUUUAUAAUCCGAAAUUUUUCUCUUAAAAUUAUUCGUCGUGUUUUAAUAUAGUUCCUAUUAUACGAUGUGUGACAUUAACGAUGUGAAAUUUAACAAAAUUUUGACAUAACUAUAAUCACCUUUUCACGAUCGUGUGAUUUUGUCACGUCUAUACAGGGAGGAGUAUGAUUAUUAUCUAAUAUUACCCACUUCACAGAGAAGAUAAUUUGUUGUUUUCAAGAAAAAAAGAAGGAGGUGAAUCAAAACAUCCUUUUGGUAAACUAUUGAAAUGCCAAGUUCAUACUUGUAUGCUAUAAAUAAUGAAGGACGCGUGUUUGGAUUAUCAACAUCUGGGAACAUGUGGCGAGAGUUCAUGUACCUGGGUCUUGAGUUUAAGCAGUUAUCAGCUGUACCACAUUACAUGUGGGCCAUAGGUGGUGAUCGUCAAGUCUAUGUACAUGUACAUGGUUUAGAUGUACCUAUAAGAAUUAAAGAAGAAAUCUAUGAAAAUGAAAGAUGGCUUCCUUUAGAUGGAUUUAGUGGAAGGUUAUUACCUACAGAUAGGUAUAACUUCUCUAAUCAAGAUGGUACGGCUGACCGUAGUCGAGAUAAAGUAAAAUUACCAUCUAUGGCUUGGCAAUGGGAAGGUGACUGGCUGAUAGAAACUACGUUAGAUGGCCAACCGUUAGACCAUGAUGGAUGGACAUAUGCAGUUGAUUUUCCAGCUACAUAUUCCACAAAAAAACAGUGGAAGUCCUGUGUUAGACGACGAAAAUGGGUUCGAUAUAGACGAUACAGCGCCAUGAAUUCAUGGUGUGCUAUUGCACCGCUUCAUAAAGAUCCAACUAAGGAACCAUUUAUUGACAUAUCUGUGGGUGGAAAUCAAAUACCUGGAGGUAAUCCUGGAUGCCUAGUAGUCUGGGCAGUAACCGCUCAUGGGAGGGUAAUGUUCCGUGUUGGAACUAGUACAACUUGUCCUGAAGGACAAAGAUGGAGUGCUAUAAAAUUAGCCACUGGUUACGAGGUAUGUCAAAUCAGUGUUGGAAUGACUGGUCUCGUAUGGGCCGUAUUGAUGGACGGUAAAGCACUGGUGCGUACAGGUGUAACUAGAGAGAAUCCAAUGGGAGAGGACUGGUCAGAGAUCGACCCUCCGCAAAAAGAUUUGAAAUUGGUACAAGUUAGCGUUGGCACGGAUGCCGUAUGGGCUAUAACACAGGAUGGGGGAGUAUGGUUUCGGAAAGGUAUUAGAGGUGAUAUGAGUGGAGUUUGUGAACAGGUGGCUAUUGGGACUGGAUGGGUAGAAAUGUUAAGCAAAAUGUCGCUAGUAUCUGUUGCUUCAAACGAUCAAGUUUGGGCUAUUGGUCAGGAAGAUAGGUGUUUGUAUUAUCGUACCGGUAUUACACGAUCGGAAUUAACUGGUAAGAAGUGGAGAGUAAUAAACGCUCCUCUGCAGCUUAGCAGAGCAAGUAGUAACGCCAGUUUAUCGUCGACCAAUAGACAUAGUAUGUGCGGUACUCCUCAACAACAAAGACAUCAGAGUUGGGGAUCAUUGAAUCGGCCCCAUAGUACCAGCGAUGGUACAACGUUAAUCAGAGAAUGGGAAGAACAAUCUCAUUCAGCGCCAACGCCAACAUCUUUAAAAUUAUGGCAACGGACAAACGAUGGUGCUACAGGUAAAACUCCACACCAAACAUCUUUCCAGGACAUGUACCUGAACGAUGGCAAAAAGAGGUCUACAAAUUCAUUAGAUAUGGGUGAUCUGACCGAAGCUAGCGUUGCGAAUAUAACCAUAUCGAACGAAUCGUUGACCAAAACAGGUGAAUCUAUAGUAGUCUCUGGGAAAGGGAUGGGCAGUACUGUGAAGAUCAAUCCAGCUGCUUGGAGUCCCGUUCACUCGGUUGGCUCUAUGGUAGGCGUAGAAGCUCAUCCAGAGACGGAUGGAAGUAUAUUCGAUCCUGACUUAACCAGUGAUUCUGGAGUCUAUGGGGAAGACGAAAGCUCGGGUGCGAUGUACUGGGCCGAAUGCGAUGCUUCCUGGUAUAAAGUAGAAGCUGGAGCGUGUUUCCUUGAUCCAUCCAACCCUCCAAAAUGGAUCGCGGAUACGAAUGGCACGAAUCACGGAGAUAUAGCAGAGUCAUGGAGGAUACAAAUUUUAGAAGAACUGAAAAGAAGAUUACACAAAGUACAAUUUGAUGCGACAAUAUAUGAAAAAGUUGUCGAAAAAUCAUCUUGGGUAAAAACUGGCGAUGCGAAAUGUAAAGUUAAAGGUAGCAGUUCGUAUGAAGAUUGCGUAAUUGAAUUAGAUUGGAUAAGCAGCGACAGCGGGUCCCUAGAUUGUGGAACAGUAACUAUUUUGAACUCUCAUAAAGUAACGACAAUUGUUCAAUUUCCUAUAUCCGAGAUCACGUGCGUAGUAUGCUGUAGCGAACCUGGUAAUCCACGGAUAGCAAUUCAUACUCCUCGAUUAUCUCGUUCUAAAGUUCUUAGAUUGCAGUUUUCUAGCGAUACUGAAAUGGAAGAUUGGUUAACGCAUUUAACUUCAGUUUCUUGUCAAAUGAAUAAUGUGUAUGGAAGACCGGGUCCCAAUUCGAUUUGGACUACUACAGCAUUAGGAGACGUGUAUGUUUACGACCCUGCAGCUGUGGAAGAAAAUCAAAUCGUUAACGACACAUACGUACAAGAAUUAGACGUUGCGGGAAAAGAAUUGCCUUUCGAAUGUAUAUUACAAAAUGGUUUCGGUUAUGGUAGUUCCCUGAAAAUUACUAUUUGUAUUCACGAUGACGCCGACAGGUUAACAUUUAAUCUCGUCUGUUAUACGACAACAUCUCUGAAACAAAAAUCCGUGGUGGAUAGCCACGAUGUAGCGUUACACUUCAAUCCGAGACUCAGAGAAAAUAUAAUCGUACGGAAUACAUAUCACAGCGGACAGUGGGGCGACGAGGAAAGAAACGGAAACAGUCCGUUGAAAUCUGGCAAUUUCACGUUAGAGAUCAUUUGCGAAGAACGGGGAUAUAGAAUUUUUAUUGACGAUAGCGAAUUUACUUUUUACAGUCAUAGAAUAUUACCGCAGAGUAUUACUCAUUUACGAAUCAAGGGAUUGAUGACAUUGUGCAGUAUACUUUAUAAAUCCCUGUCUGUAAUCAUCGAUCCGAUUACGAUGUUUUGGAGACAAAUUGGCGGCCAUUUGAAAAAAGUUGAAACCUGUUCCGUUGGUGUGACAUGGGGUAUAGGAUAUGACAGUACCGCGUGGGUGUAUACUGGUGGCUGGGGUGGCUUAUUUUUAAAAGGAUUAGAUAGCAAUACGGGAAUAAACACUAUGGUCGAUACUCAUAAUUAUUACGUUUACGAAAAUCAGCGUUGGAAUCCGUUAACUGGAUACACGUCUCAUGGUCUUCCAACGGAUCGCUACAUGUGGAGCGAUGCGAGCGGACGUCAGAAACGUACUCGAGAACAUACAAAGCUGCUAUCGAUGCACUGGCAUUGGGUAUCAGACUGGAUAGUCGACUUUCAUACACCCGGGGGUGUCGAUAGGGAUGGCUGGCAGUACGCCACUGACUUCCCUUCUCAAUAUCAUGGGAAAAAACAGUUCACCGAUUAUGUUAGAAGAAGAAGAUGGUUUCGAAGGUGUCAAUUAACGACCAGUGGUCCAUGGCAAGAAUUAGGAAAUACAAAAUUGAUCGAUGUCUCUUUAUAUGCAACUGGAAAACCUGGUACGGAUGCUCAAGUUUACAUAUGGGCGGUAGCUACUAACGGUGAAGCUUUAUUUAGGAGAGGCGUUUCGGAAUCCUGUCCAGUGGGAGUUUCAUGGGAACAUAUACCGAGUGAUCAAGCCUUAAUAGGUAUUUCGUGUGGUCCAGGAGGCCAAGUUUGGGCUGUAGGGAAAAAUGGUUCCUCUUACUGGAGGCUAGGGAUCACACCUUCAAAACCUGCAGGUGUGCAGUGGCAAAAUGUUGAACCACCGGCAGGUGCUCAUUUAAAACAAAUUUCCGUGGGGAAAGAUGUAGUGUGGGCGUUGGAUACAACAGGUAGACUGUCUGUUCGCCGCGAAGUGCAAAUGAACAUUUUUCCAGAAGGAACACAUUGGCAGACGCUUCCCGCGAUGCCGAAUGAUCCCAUUCAUAUAGAGAAAUGUAAGAUGAAACCCCGAAAGGCUGUGUUUCUUGGAAAACUCUGCAGAAUGCCCUUCAAAAGCUCUGUGUUGGGAAACGCUGAUAUAGACAACGCGUCUACUAAUUUAGAUACACUCUUUGACCCCUGUUACAUAGAUAUGUCCGUUAUAAAUGCGAAGCAAGGUUUUCGACACGUUGCCGUUGCUAGGGAACAAGGUCAAGUAUGGGCAGUUUCGGGGGCUGGAAUACUUUGUCGCAGAAUUGGUAUUACCAACGAAAACCCAGCUGGAACUGGUUGGGUCACCGGUAUAGGGGCGAAUUGGCAGUACGUGAGCGUAGGAGGACUUGUAAAUAAAAUGAAAUGAAACGAUUGAAUUUUAGAUCGGCGAAGGAUUCUUGUAAUAAUAAGAUACACGAAGUACUAUUGUAUUACUACCAUCUAGUAAUGUAAUAUUCUAGCUUUUUAUUUUCACCAAGAAAUUUUUCACAAGUACGAGAAAAUGAAUGCAUGUGCAUGUAAGAUAUAGAAGUUUUCCAUAAUGGAUAUGGCAUAGGUUUGCGAAUAAUUCAAUUUUAAGCUUGACGUGUGACGUAUCUAACAAACGAAAAAGACGUUAUCCAAAACGUACAAACCAUACCGAUCAUUGACUAUGCGUGAUAUAUUUGUACUUAUUUUCCGGUACAAUUUUAUUUGAUUUCUGUAUGAUAAGAAAUAUACGUACAGGUAGAAGAAUUAAUCUAUACAAAUUUGGUGAUACAUUUUUUUUUUCUUAUAGUUUCGCCAACGAAACAUUCCAAACCCAUGCAUUUGCAUAACCACUGAAUAUAUAAUAAUAACAUAAAAAUAGAAAAUAGUAUGAAAUGUUAAUUUCAUUUUAUAAUGACAUACCUUUGAUACCUCAAAAAACCAUAACUCGAUCGUAUUUACCACUCGCCUUGCCUGUGAACAAAUUAUUUUGUUUAUUACCGUAUAAUGAAAAAUUUUAGAUUUUAGGAUCAAAAUAAAACUGCUAGAGCAAGUAUUCAAGAUUGAAAUUACGAUCGAGCAAUCAAUCGCGUAUAAAAUUUUAUUCCAAUACUUUCGAUUUACUACGUGUUCCAUCUUAUAAAUUCGAUCAAAAACUAUGGUUCUUCUAACGAACACGCCAAGUAUUCCUAUAUGAAUCUAUUUUGUGUAGUGCCUGAAAUGUAUUGUCUCAUAUUUAUUAUUUGCAAGAUCUUAUUUUUGAAACGAAGAAAAGAUAUCGUAACAUAGAAAAAGUUUAUUUUUUCGAAACUAUGGAUAUCGAGAACGUUUACGACAACUAUAACAUUGCUGUAUUUAGGUAGUAUUUUUAAAACGCUACUGCUAAUGAAUUCAUUAUAAAUAUUUGUUUUAUAAAUAUUAAACUUUAUUCCGUUGAAAAUGUAUUUUUAACAUUUCAUUAAAUUAUGUAAACAAAUAAAUCUGAUUUGAUGUCACGAGUGCCAUAAUUAUUAUAUUUAAUACAUUUAUAUUUAUAUAAAAUUUAAUAUAUAAUUAUAAUUAUGACUAAUUCUACGGCUAUUCUUGAUCAAGCUCAAGUGUAUAAUUACGAAAGAUAUAAAUCCGUGGUCCGCGUGUAUCGAGUCACCGCAUGAUAACGGUUCGGAUCGCUCGAUACCGUGAAUGUGCGCGUGUGUAUCUUUUUUGCAAACGACCGCGUCCUUUCUCUCGUCUCCGUACUCGAGGAACGAUAGCCGUUCGAUUAUGAAAUCGUUACAUCGUACGAACGAUCGGUAUCGUGGAACAUUGCUCGUGCCAAACAGAGACACGAGACACGGAGACGACGCUGGACGACGCUCUCGGAGGCACAGUCGGUGGAAGAUCCAGCAGAGUCGUAAAUCGAGACACGAAGAGGGGUGUACACCUUGAGCUGGCACAGUUGCGCGACACGAAAGAAAACUUUGAUGUUUACAUAAAUUAAUGCGUAGAACUAUUAUUGGAUUUAGGUUUUCAAUCUAUAUAAGUGUUUUACUGUACGUAUGACCUCUGUUACAUCCGAUAGCCGACGUUCUCUGCUGUAUAUGAUAAAAUGUUAUAUGCAUAAUAGCGUGUUAACACGUUGAACGCCCAUGUAUGGAUGACGGAGCUUUUCACUAAGGAACAAUUAAUUUUAAGAAUUACAUGUUGAUGAAAACGAAUCUAGAUAUAAUAGAAUACAAAAAUUAAUACAACGAAUGUUGGGCUCCAUAGUUUGUAUUCGUCUCGAAGCAAAAUUUUAGUCCUGCAGACCUUUCCGCGCGAGUCGGUCUGGCAGUCAACGCGUUAACUCGAAAAGGGCAGAACGUAGCGCGACUCGAAGCACGAACGACGGCUGAACGCCGCUCGUCUUGAUCGACGAUCGAGAUCGAUCACGGAUCGGCUACCGUGCACGGAAUGCGAUGGGUUCGGUGCGAAAAAAAUCGAAUAAAAGGGUAAAAUGUCAACGUGACUCGGUUCUACCUACGAAAGAGCAAACGCAUCCUAUUAGCGGUUCAGAGAUCGCAUUGUUCGCCGAUGUGCCCUUAAACGAGCGAAAUCUCAUCCAUCGUAACGACGUUGGCCUUUGAAUCGCGUGCCAAACGGAUGGCGAUAAAUCCAACCGUCCCCACGGUCGAGAGAAGAAAAUAAUCGCGAACGGAUACGUAUGAGAACUCGUACGCUCGCGCUUGCGGUCAUGAGCAAUUCAUCGAAUACGUCCAACGCGCGACAUCCACUGAGAUACGCAACGAUAAGACCCACGUCGCGUCCCAGGAUGGUGCGCUACGCGUUCCGUGGGACUUCUAUUAUAUCCAAUUAUAUCUUGCCGUGCGAUCGGACAGAAUCAAGUUCGUAAACACCGACCCCCUCUUGUCGUGUUGACACGGCGAUCGUGAAAAACUGACAGAAAUGUUAAUUCGUUGCGUCGAGCGGCCUGUUGCGGCGGGUGUUCAGGCCACGUCGAUGUCUACAUUAUCUUUCAGCGUCUCGAUCGUUUUAUUACAGUCGGUGGAGACACGAGGUUCUUUCUGAAAACAGAGACAUACGAUGUAGUCGAUUCAUCUCGUAAUUGUUCGCUAAGCGUAAGAAUUCUGAGAGGAAACGAAGAUUAACUACUCUCGGUACCGUAAUCCUCUUCGAUCUCGUUUCUGAAAAUUCUGAGGAUCCUUCUCGAAAUUUCUGAAGGUUACUUGGAACGAUAUCUAGGAUUGCAAACUCUCAUGCGACUGGAGGUGCUUAGCCUUUGCGCGACGGUGAUCGCCGAGAGAGGAUCAUCUGAAAGAAAAAAAAAUAUGUGAGUUACGGGAGCGUUCGCGAUGUCGUCCCGAUCCCUUGCGAUCCUGAG